AUUAGAGAGGCGGUAAACAAU
rnacentral:miRNA from 1 species